rnacentral:lncRNA from 1 species
UCACCUACUAAUCAAAUCAUCAGUACAGUGAUUCUGAAGGGCAGAAACUUUGGGGAUUUUUAGGUUUUCGGUGGUUUCUUAACAGUUUUUCGGCGACCUUAGGAAUUUUUUCCGGCGCCACUUCAAAGUUUUGAUCAGAAUUUUUUUGGGGGGCUUCUUCCUAAUUUGAUCUGAUUCUCUCUUUCUUGGUGGGGGGUUUAUUUGAAAAUGCUUCUUUCAAGCUUGACCAGUUUACUUGCACCUUCUUGCUUUGGUGGUUUGUUUCUAGUGUCUUUGUGUUUAGCUUCUACUUGUAAGGGUGGCUUGAGUUACAAUAAUUUCUGGUCGGACACAACAUUAUUUCGGCAAUCUAUAACAGUUUUUCAGUGACCUAAAAAAAUAUUUUAAAAAAUCUUUCAUUAAUUUUAAGCCCAACCAAAACUUCUCAAGUAUUUGAUAAUUUAAAUUAGAACAACCCAUUGCUUUUAGUCUUAUUCAAUCAUAUGUUUUGAGUUGAACUUGGUUUUCUUGGUGUCCAUCACAAAUUCUGAAAUCCUUUUUUGAGUCCCCACUAUCUCAUAUCUGAUCAGAACCGUUCCAUUGGUAGGUGUUUAGAACUGUUGGUCUCCACGACGACUUCUUACGUCGUCGAUGAGAUCAGUAUUAAUAUUUGUUCUUUCGUAUUUUUCAUUUAAGUUUACUUUUAUCUUAGUAUAAACCACCUUGAUGAUGAAAUUAGCUAGAAAAAAGUUAUUAGUUGUUUUUUCUUUGCUAUAAUGUUUAAUUUAGUGAAAUACGUUGUUUGUGGGUUUGGCUUGGUCUCCCCCUCAAUGCAAAUUCAACAGCUGAAUGCUCAUAUCCUUACUUCAACUCCUCUUUUAGAUUCGAUGGUUUGGAGAGAUUUCUAUUGUGCAUCGCUCAUUCGUGGGCAUACAAAUAUCAGUGGUUCAUCUAUAGUAGUUUAGUUUCCACAGUUUGGUUCAUUUUGUUCAUCUAUAGUUUAGUUCUCACAGUUUGGUUCUUUUAUUCAUCUAUAGUUUAGUUUCCA